GAGGGGCUGGGCAACAGGCUGUGUUACCUGGAGCCCACAUCUGAGGCCAAGUAUGUUCCUCCAGACCUGUGCAUCUGCACCUUUGUGCUGGAACAGUCUCUGUCUGUACGGGCGCUACAGGAGAUGCUGGCUAAGAGCGGACAGAACAGUGAAGGGGCAGCGCAAAGCGGAGGACACAAGACUCUUCUGUACGGACACGCCAUCCUCCUUCGGCAUUCCUUCAGCUCUAUG